rnacentral:rRNA from 1 species
AGCAGUAGCCACGGGAAAACGAAGGGUGCAAGCGUUAAUCGGAAUUACUGGGCGUAAAGGGUGCGUAGGCGGUUGUUUAAGUCUGUUGUGAAAUCCCCGGACUCAACCUGGGAAUGGCAAUGGAAACUGGACGGCUAGAGUGUGUCAGAGGAUGGUGGAAUUCCCGGUGUAGCGGUGAAAUGCGUAGAGAUCGGGAGGAACAUCGGUGGCGAAGACGGCCCCCUGGACAAAGACUGACGCUCAGGUGCGAAAGCGUGGGGAGCAAACAGGAUUAGAUACCCGCGUAGUCCCUGUCUCUUAUAC